AUUGAACGCUGGCGGCAUGCUUUACACAUGCAAGUCGAACGGUAACAGGCCGCAAGGUGCUGACGAGUGGCGAACGGGUGAGUAAUGCAUCGGAACGUGCCCAGUCGUGGGGGAUAACGCAGCGAAAGCUGCGCUAAUACCGCAUACGAUCUGUGGAUGAAAGCGGGGGACCGAAAGGCCUCGCGCGAUUGGAGCGGCCGAUGUCAGAUUAGGUAGUUGGUGGGGUAAAGGCCCUCCAAGCCAACGAUCUGUAGCUGGUCUGAGAGGACGACCAGCCACACUGGGACUGAGACACGGCCCAGACUCCUACGGGAGGCAGCAGUGGGGAAUUUUGGACAAUGGGCGCAAGCCUGAUCCAGCAAUGCCGCGUGCAGGAAGAAGGCCUUCGGGUUGUAAACUGCUUUUGUACGGAACGAAACGGCUCUGGUUAAUACCUGGGGCUAAUGACGGUACCGUAAGAAUAAGCACCGGCUAACUACGUGCCAGCCGCCGCCGUAAGAC
rnacentral:rRNA from 1 species